CGGCACGCUUGAACGACAUCACCCGACUGGUACGCCCCUCCACUCUCCUCACGCAGCAGUAACAUUCAGAAACGAAAAUACACAACAUCAAAAAUACACGGAGAAGCAGGAUCGUACACAGUGUUCUUCGUCUUUUUCUUUGGUUGUCCUCUCCUGUAGUACCUUUCAGCAGCAAAAGGCACCUGCAAUUCCGUCCUUGUGGAUAUUGGAUUGAGCCACGUCUUACCCCAAGGACGAUAGGAUUGAUCGGAACCAUCUGCUUCCCUUUAAACUUUUGGAUUUUUGGUCGAUGCUUGGGGAAAAAUCGAGAAAGCAGCAGCUCUUUUUUGCCCGUUCUGGUGGAAUUUUGAAUUUUUGGGAAGAAUUGAAAUUCUAGUUUUACCCCUUUCCCGUUCAAACUUUACUCAAUUUCCCCCCCUCAACCCUAAUUUAUGAAUAUAAAUACUCUCUUUGGAUUUAAUGUAAGGAGUGAUUUGUAGGAGAGAAAAUCAUUGGCAGGAAAUUUUCUUUUUAGCAUCAAGAAUAGUUUAAGCAAGUGGUGAUAGUAAUAUAUAAAUUAUAUAUUCGAAGGGGGAAGAAAAGUUUCAGUUUUUCCGAGUUUCAUACUCCCUGUCGGCUCAACAGUGUUCCCCAAGAUGAUACGAGUUGCCGCUCAAGCCACAAAUUUUCUAUCCGUACUCGACUCUGUGGUGAAGUUGCUCACGAAAGCUUCAGUCUCAGAAUGCUGCCUUAAAAGAAGGAAACCUCAAAUCAGAUUUCAUAUUUUUGUGUAUUGGCAUGUUUUGACCAAUGAAUUG
rnacentral:misc_RNA from 1 species